GAUGAACGCUGGCGGCGUGCCUAAUACAUGCAAGUAGAACGCUGAAGCUUGGUGCUUGCACCGAGCGGAUGAGUUGCGAACGGGUGAGUAACGCGUAGGUAACCUGCCUCUUAGCGGGGGAUAACUAUUGGAAACGAUAGCUAAUACCGCAUAAAAGUCGAUAUCGCAUGAUAUUGAUUUGAAAGGUGCAACUGCAUCACUAAGAGAUGGACCUGCGUUGUAUUAGCUAGUUGGUGAGGUAACGGCUCACCAAGGCGACGAUACAUAGCCGACCUGAGAGGGUGAUCGGCCACACUGGGACUGAGACACGGCCCAGACUCCUACGGGAGGCAGCAGUAGGGAAUCUUCGGCAAUGGGGGCAACCCUGACCGAGCAACGCCGCGUGAGUGAAGAAGGUUUUCGGAUCGUAAAGCUCUGUUGUAAGAGAAGAACGAGUGUGAGAGUGGAAAGUUCACACUGUGACGGUAACUUACCAGAAAGGGACGGCUAACUACGUG
rnacentral:rRNA from 1 species